UGGGGAAUAUUGCACAAUGGGCGAAAGCCUGAUGCAGCGACGCCGCGUGAGGGAUGGAGGCCUUCGGGUUGUAAACCUCUUUCAGUAAGGGUGAAGGCUCUCUUUUGUGGAGGGUUGACAGUACUUGCAGAAGAAGCGCCGGCUAACUACGUGCCAGCAGCCGCGGUAAUACGUAGGGCGCGAGCGUUGUCCGGAAUUAUUGGGCGUAAAGGGCUUGUAGGUGGCGUGUCGCGUCUGCUGUGAAAUUCCAGGGCUUAACUUUGGGAUUGCCGUGGGUACAGGCAUGCUAGAAUGCCGUAGGGGAGAUUUGAAUUCCUGGUGUAGCGGUGAAAUGCGCAGAUAUCAGGAGGAACACCGGUGGCGAAGGCUGGUCUCUGGACUGCAACUGACACUGAGGCACGAAAGCGUGGGUAGCAAACAGG
rnacentral:rRNA from 1 species